rnacentral:rRNA from 1 species
AACGAACGCUGGCGGCAGGCCUAGCACAUGCAAGUCGAGCGGUGGAGCAAUCCCUAGCGGCGGACGGGUUAGUAACGCGUGGGAACGUGCCCAAAGGUACGGAAUAGCCUCGGGAAACUGAGAGUAAUACCGUAUGUGCCCUUCGGGGGAAAGAUUUAUCGCCUUUGGAUCGGCCCGCGUUGGAUUAGGUAGUUGGUGGGGUAAUGGCCUACCAAGCCGACGAUCCAUAGCUGGUUUGAGAGGAUGAUCAGCAACACUGGGACUGAGACACGGCCCAGACUCCUACGGGAGGCAGCAGUGGGGAAUCUUAGACAAUGGGGGAAACCCUGAUCUAGCCAUGCCGCGUGAGCGAUGAAGGCCUUAGGGUUGUAAAGCUCUUUCAGCUGGGAAGAUAAUGACGGUACCAGCAGAAGAAGCCCCGGCUAACUCCGUGCCAGCCGCCGCGGUAACAC